rnacentral:rRNA from 1 species
GACGAACGCUGGCGGCGUGCUUAACACAUGCAAGUCGAGCGGUAAGGCCCUUUCGGGGGUACACGAGCGGCGAACGGGUGAGUAACACGUGGGUGACCUGCCCUCAGCUCUGGGAUAAGCCUGGGAAACUGGGUCUAAUACUGGAUAUGACUCCACGGUGCAUGUCGUGGGGUGGAAAGCCUUGUGCGGCUGAGGAUGGGCCCGCGGCCUAUCAGCUUGUUGGGGGGUGAUGGCCUACCAAGGCGACGACGGGUAGCCGGCCUGAGAGGGCGACCGGCCACACUGGGACUGAGACACGGCCCAGACUCCUACGGGAGGCAGCAGUGGGGAAUCUUGCGCAAUGGGCGAAAGCCUGACGCAGCGACGCCGCGUGAGGGAUGACGG